rnacentral:rRNA from 1 species
GACGAACGCUGGCGGCGUGCUUAACACAUGCAAGUCGAACGAGAAAGCCCUUCGGGGUAAGUACAGUGGCGAACGGGUGAGUAACACGUGGGCAACCUGCCCCAGAGAGCGGGACAACCCGGGGAAACCCGGGCUAAUACCGCAUGAUGCGUCUCCACUUAAGUGGAGCCGCCAAAAGGUAGCUUCGGCCUCCGCUCUGGGAUGGGCCCGCGCCGGAUUAGCUAGUUGGUUGGGGUAACGGCCCACCAAGGCGACGAUCCGUAGCUGGUCUGAGAGGACGAUCAGCCACACUGGGACUGAGACACGGCCCAGACUCCUACGGGAGGCAGCAGUGGGGAAUCUUGCGCAAUGGGCGAAAGCCUGACGCAGCAACGCCGCGUGGGGGAAGAAGGCCUUCGGGUUGUAAACCUCUUUCAGUAGGGACGAAGCUUCCGGGGUUAAUAGCCUACGGGGUGACGGUACCUACAGAAGAAGCCCCGGCUAACUACGUGCCAGCAGCCGCAGUAACAC